UUAAGGCCUUUCCAAGUCUGGCGAGGAACUGUUCUGAUACCAAAGAGAUAUUUUAUUAUUUUCUUUCUUACCACCUGCUUAAUCUUUUGAUCAUUUAUUCUCUUUCUUUCCAACACUCCCAAUUUCCUCUUUCUCUUCUUUCUUUCUCCAAAAACCAUUUUUUUUCUUCGACUCACUUCUUUCCGUCUUCUUUCUUCUUCAACACGCAAGGCCUCUCCAUCUUCUUUUCUUCUUCAAUCCGCAACCCCAUUGUCUCUGUCUUGCUCUCCAGCGAUCAUCUUCCUUAUCUCAAAUCAAAUCGAUUAUCUAUUUUCUGUUGGGUGUACACAUAAACUCUAUUGGAUUCCAUUCCCCCUCUCAACCAUUAUAGUAAGCGUUUUUCAGUAAAAGGUGUUGUCCCACUUUAUGAAACUGCAACAUGCUGUUGAGAUAUUACAUUUUGAUGCUGAGAUAUUGGAUAUAUGUCCAAUAUGCUUUAUUGGACUUGAAUAUUGGGUACAUUUUCUGACUCCUUGAAAAUUUAAUAUUUUUCAAGGAUGGAUACAUAUUUUGAUGAUAACCACUUCUUCACCACUUUGUUACAAAGUGGAGGAGGAGGUUGUAAUAGCACCCCAAAGCAAACAUUUUAAUGUUGUGGUUCAAGCAACUAACCCCCAAUGAUGGUGAAAAGAGGCAUCCUCCAAAAAAAGUCCACAGAUGUGCAUCUUUCACCGUAGAGGAGGAGAACAUCAUCGUCUCAAUUUAACUCAACAUUAGCAUCGAUGUGAUAAAGGGUACUGAUCAAAAGUCCAUUCAAAUGUGGGAAAGAAUUACCACAUUUUAUCAUGACUAUAAAAAAUCGAAUAUUGUCAACCAUUCUGAGGGAUCAUUGAUGAAUCGAUAGUCCACAAUUCAAAAAUAAACAAAUAAGUUUUGUGCAUAUGUAGUACAAGUAGAGUCAUUGCACCUGAGUGGCGCAACGGAGCGAGACAAAGUAUGUACCAUUUUCCUUUUUUCAUACAAUUUGUGAUGGGCUUACUUAUGAACUCACAAAUAUUCCUUCACAUUGGUAGAUUAAAAAGGUGAAUAUAUUGUAUAAAGAGAUGCUAUGGUGUAAUUUCACAAUGGAGUACUGUUAGUAUCUUUUAACACACCAACCAAAAUGGCAGCAACACAUAUCCACCUUUGGUAAGAAGAAAAUGCCACAAGAGAAACUGUUUGGUGAAGUUGCUAUUGACAUAGCCGAGGAGGACAUGGAGGUUCUUACUCAGAGACCUCUAGGAAAAAAAGUUGAGAAAAAAAGGGAGAGGAAGUGGAAGUCGAUGGAAGGUAAUGAUUGUGAGAUCAAGAUUGGCUUAGCUAAGAUGAUCGGAGAAAGAGCGACGAGCAUGGAAGAGCAGAGACAAGGUGUGUUGAAGGCAAAUCGCGAAAGAGUAGCAACAUUUGAACUAAAGAAGAAGAAGUUCGAGGCAAAGAUGAUACUGCUAGAUCUAAGUAACUUGAAUGCCAUGCAGCAAGAAUAUUUCGAUGCUAUUCAACUGAAAUUUUUUUCAGGAAUAGAGGUCCCAUUCCGGAAGUACAUCUACAUCUCGUUCAACACCUUUUGGAUGUGUUUAACUUCUAAUGUAUGUUUUGAAAUUUUUUAGGAUUUCAGUGGCUGCCCAACCAGAUAUGGGAUGGAUAAACAUGUGAGUGGGUAGCAACUAAAUUAAUGGACUGUGGUAUAAUUCUCAUCAUUUUAUUUUGUAUUAGAAACUGAACUGUAAGAGUAAUUUAUGAACUAUUUUGGUAUAUUGUGGAUUGUUUUGGCUAUUUAUGAAUUGGAGGUCAUCUUUUGUAAUUGA